GACGAACGCUGGCGGCGUGCUUAACACAUGCAAGUCGAACGAUGAAGCCCAGCUUGCUGGGUGGAUUAGUGGCGAACGGGUGAGUAACACGUGGGCAACCUGCCCCAAACUCUGGGAUAACUCCUCGAAAGAGGUGCUAAUACCGGAUACGAACUAGACAGACACCUGUACUAGUUGGAAAGUCUUUCGGUUUGGGAUGGGCCCGCGGCCUAUCAGCUUGUUGGUGAGGUAACGGCUCACCAAGGCUACGACGGGUAACCGGCCUGAGAGGGCGACCGGUCACACUGGGACUGAGACACGGCCCAGACUCCUACGGGAGGCAGCAGUGGGGAAUAUUGCGCAAUGGGCGAAAGCCUGACGCAGCGACGCCGCGUGAGGGAUGAAGGUCUUCGGAUCGUAAACCUCUUUCAGUAGGGACGAAGCGAAAGUGACGGUACCUAAAGAAGAAGCACCGGCUAACUACGUGCCAGCAGCCGCUGUAA
rnacentral:rRNA from 1 species